rfam:Sordaria macrospora k-hell, WGS project CABT02000000 data, contig: 2.2
GGGCGGAUAGUUCAGUGGUAGAAUGUCUGUUUCGCAAUUUGCCUUGUUUGUCCAAGUGCAGCAGCUCUUACAGAAGGUCCCGUGUUCAAACCACGGUUCGUCCA